rfam:Bacteroides cellulosilyticus CAG:158 genomic scaffold, scf249
GAGAGCCGUAUGCGUGGAGACAUGCAAGUACGGUUUGGGGGCAGGUACGGGAAAACCUACUGCCGAAAGGCAGUAAGGCGUUCUGUACCGAGCCUAC